GACGAACGCUGGCGGCGUGCCUAAUACAUGCAAGUCGAACGCAGUGGGGAUAGGUGAUUAACACGUGGGUAACCUCCCAUCAGAGGGGAUAACCCUUGGAUACAGGUGCUAAACCGAUACUGAUGGAUGGACUCGCGGUGCAUUAGCUAGUGGGUGAGGUAACGGCUCACCAAGGCAACGAUGCAUAGCUGAGCUGAUAGGGUGAUCGGCCACACUGGGACUGAGACACGGCCCAGACUCCUACGGGAGGCAGCAGUGGGGAAUAUUGGGCAAUGGACGAAAGUCUGACGGAGCAACGCCGCGUGAGUGAAGAAGGUUUUCGGAUCGUAAAGCUCUGUUGUUAGAGAAGCGGUAUCUAACCAGAAAGCAACGGCUAACUACGUGCCAGCAGCCGCGGUAAUUC
rnacentral:rRNA from 1 species